AUUUGGUUUAGGACUCUUCAAGCCGCAAACCGCUAGGCACCCUAAAACUUCAUUAGUUGAUCUCUACAUCUUCCGUUCACUCUAAUCCCAAUUCACCGAUAAGGUAUCUCAAAUCAAUCUAAGAUUCAUAAAUCUCAAUCUUCUAUAUUUUGAUUCGUGGCUGCUUUUGAAUGUUAAACCUUAACCCUAGAUUUAUAAUCUAUAGUAUGGAGAUUUCAUUUUGAAUCUUUGAAACGUUUCAAACCUAGAAGGGGCCGCUAGCCGUAUCUAAAAUUUCAGCCACUAGCCGCUGUCGUCGUCGCGAUUUCCGAUCAGAUUCAUCUAAUCUAACUCGUGCUAUAUCUUGGAUACAUCAGUUUUUGAAGGUUGUGAGAUCAAUUACUACUGUGAAGAAUCUUGACUAAGAGAAAGCAUGGAACACUUCAUCAGAAAAACACAUGGCUGCUUGAAGCUUUGAAUUAUUGGUUUUUUUUUUUUUUUUUUGAAAUUUUUUGGGAAAAUUUAUGGUUAUGUAAUUGUAGUUACAUGUUCAAGUAAUUGUUGUUUAUUUUAAUUGUCCGUAGUGUUACUGGUGUGUGGCUGUAGGCCUCUUGGAAAGUUUUGAAAUGAGUAAAAAAGUGAUUUUAUUCCUUU